AUCGCUUCUCGGCCUUUUGGCUAAGAUCAAGUGUAAGUAUCUGUUCUUAUCAGUUUAAUAUCUGAUACGUCCCCCAUCGGGGGACUACAUAUUAAAUGGAUUUUUCGAACAGGGAGUCGGAAAUGGGGCUUGCUCCGUCCGCUCCACGCAUCGACCCGGUAUUGCAGUACCUCCGGGAACGGUGGCAAAACA
rnacentral:snRNA from 1 species